CCUACGGGAGGCAGCAGUAGGGAAUAUUGCUCAAUGGGGGAAACCCUGACGCAGCAACGCCGCGUGGAGGAUGAAGGUUUUCGGAUUGUAAACUCCUGUUGUUAGAGAAGAUAAUGACGGUAUCUAACGAAUAAGCACCGGCUAACUCCGUGCCAGCAGCCGCGGUAAUACGGAGGGUGCAAGCGUUAUUUGGAAUCACUGGGCGUAAAGAGCGCGUAGGCGGGAUAGCAAGUCAGAUGUGAAAUCCUAUGGCUUAACCAUAGAACUGCAUUUGAAACUGUUAUUCUAGAGUAUGGGAGAGGUAGGUGGAAUUCUUGGUGUAGGGGUAAAAUGCGUAGAGAUCAAGAGGAAUACUCGUUGCGAAGGCGACCUGCUAGAACAUAACUGACGCUGAUGCGCGAAAGCGUGGGGAGCAAACAGGAUUAGAUACCCGAGUAGUC
rnacentral:rRNA from 1 species